rnacentral:rRNA from 1 species
UACGGAGGGGGCGAGCGUUACUCGGAUUUACUGGGUGUAAAGGGCACGUAGGCGGUUCAGAAAGCUCCGCUUUAAAUUCUUGCGCUCAACGCGAGAUGGUGGUGGAGGACUGCUGGACUUGAGAAUUGGAGAGGCGAGCGGAAUUCCCGGUGUAAGGGUGACAUCUGUAGAUAUCGGGAGGAACACCAGUGGCGAAAGCGGCUCGCUGGCCAAUUACUGACGCUGAGGUGCGAAAGCUAGGGGAGCAAACAGG